rnacentral:lncRNA from 1 species
AUGCAUGUCAACAUCAGAAGCCUCCUCCCUAAGUUUGUUUUACUCACUGCUUUAGCACACUCUGCUAACCUUGAUGUCCUUGCUGUGUCUGAAUCCUGGCUCAGGAAGGCCACCAAAAAUUCAGAGAUUUCCAUACCCAACUAUAACAUCUUCCGUCAAGAUAGAACUGCCAAAGGGGGAGGAGUUGCAGUCUACUGCAGAGAUAGCCUGCAAAGUAAUGUCAUACUUUCCAGGUCCAUACCCAAACAGUUCGAACUACUAAUUUUGAAAAUGACUCUCUCCAGAAAUAAGUCUCUCACUGUUGCCGCCUGCUACCGACCCCCCUCAGCUCCCAGCUGUGCCCUGGACACCAUUUGUGAAUUGAUCGCCCCCCAUCUAGCUUCAGAGUUUGUUCUGUUAGGUGACCUAAACUGGGAUAUGCUUAACACCCUGGCAGUCCUACAAUCUAAGCUAGAUGCCCUCAAUCUCACACAAAUCAUCAAGGAACCCACCAGGUACAACCCUAACUCUGUAAACAAGGGCACCCUCAUAGACGUCAUCCUGACCAACUGGCCCUCCAAAUACACCUCCGCUGUCUUCAACCAGGAUCUCAGCGAUCACUGCCUCAUUGCCUGUAUCCGCUACGGAGCCGCAGUCAAACGACCACCCCUCAUCACUAUCAAACCCUCCCUAAAACACUUCUGUGAGCAGGCCUUUCUAAUCGACCUGGCCCGGGUAUCCUGGAAGGACAUUGACCUCAUCCCGUCAGUUGAGGAUGCCUGGUCAUUCUUUAAAAGUAACUUCCUCACCAUUUUAGAUAAGCAUGCUCCGUUCAAAAAAUGCAGAACUAAGAACAGAUACAGCCCUUGGUUCACCCCAGACCUGACUGCCUUCGACCAGCACAAAAACAUCCUGUGGCGGACUGCAAUAGCAUCGAAUAGUCCCCGUGAUAUGCAACUGUUCAGGGAAGUCCGGAACCAAUACACGCAGUCAGUCAGGAAAGCUAAGGCCAGCUUCUUCAGGCAGAAGUUUGCAUCCUGUAGCUCCAACUCCAAAAAGUUCUGGGACACUGUGAAGUCCAUGGAGAACAAGAGCACCUCCUCCCAGCUGCCCACUGCACUGAGGCUAGGUAACACGGUCACCACCGAUAAAUCCAUGAUUAUCGAAAACUUCAAUAAGCAUUUCUCAACGGCUGGCCAUGCCUUCCGCCUGGCUACUUCAACCUCGGCCAACAGCCCCCCCCCCCCCCCCCCCCCCCCCCCGCUGCUCCUCGCCCAAGCCUCUCCAGGUUCUCCUUUACCCAAAUCCAGAUAG